CUGUUCCAGAAUCAUGGUAUGCUGGGAGUUCAUUAGUUUCUCAAAUAAUACUCUAGUUGAAUUCAGGUCAAUCCCAGGUAUUUUGGGGCUUGUUUUGAAAUGCUCAUCAAUUCUAAACAGAAAAAAAACUUCCAUUCCAACACGCUGCAGAAGAUAGUAUCUGAACAACACCACUGCCCAGAAAGAAAAAAAUAAAAUGAGCCACUAGGUUCCAGAUGCUACCAUGAUGCCAACCAGACUUCCCUAGGCAGAUGACCCCACCAGUCCACCAAUGUGUCCUGGAGCUCUGCUUCCUCAGAGCACUGCCCUACUAGGGAAAGAGAGAGACUGGCUGGGAGUAUGGAUCAACCUGUCAACACUCAUGUUCAGCGGGGAAGCAUUAACAGAAGCCAGACCUUCCACCUUCUGCACCCCAUAAUGACCCUGGGUCCAUACUCCCAGAAGGAUAAAGAAUAGGAAAGCUAUCAG